AGAGUUUGAUCCUGGCUCAGGAUGAACGCUGGCGGUAUGCUUAACACAUGCAAGUCGAACGGGAUGCUUAGGCAUCUAGUGGCGGACGGGUGAGUAACGCGUGAGAAUCUGGCUCCAGGUCGGGGAUAACAGUUGGAAACGACUGCUAAUACCGGAUGUGCCGAGAGGUGAAAGAUUUAUUGCCUGGAGAUGAGCUCGCGUCUGAUUAGCUAGUUGGCGGUGUAAGGGACCACCAAGGCGUCGAUCAGUAGCUGGUCUGAGAGGAUGAUCAGCCACACUGGGACUGAGACACGGCCCAGACUCCUACGGGAGGCAGCAGUGGGGAAUUUUCCGCAAUGGGCGAAAGCCUGACGGAGCAAUACCGCGUGAGGGAGGAAGGCUCUUGGGUCGUAAACCUCUUUUCUCAAGGAAGAAGAAAGUGACGGUACUUGAGGAAUAAGCAUCGGCUAACUCCGUGCCAGCAGCCGCGGUAAUACGGAGGAUGCAAGCGUUAUCCGGAAUGAUUGGGCGUAAAGGGUCUGCAGGUGGAACUGAAAGUCUGCUGUUAAAGAGUUUGGCUUAACCAAAUAAAAGCGGUGGAAACUACAGAACUAGAGUGCGGUAGGGGCAAAAGGAAUUCCUGGUGUAGCGGUGAAAUGCGUAGAUAUCAGGAAGAACACCGGUGGCGAAAGCGUUUUGCUAGACCGUAACUGACACUGAGGGACGAAAGCUAGGGGAGCGAAUGGGAUUAGAUACCCCAGUAGUCCUAGCCGUAAACGAUGGAUACUAGGCGUGGCUUGUAUCGACCCGAGCCGUGCCGGAGCUAACGCGUUAAGUAUCCCGCCUGGGGAGUACGCACGCAAGUGUGAAACUCAAAGGAAUUGACGGGGGCCCGCACAAGCGGUGGAGUAUGUGGUUUAAUUCGAUGCAACGCGAAGAACCUUACCAAGACUUGACAUCCUGCGAAUCCUGGUGAAAGCUGGGAGUGCCUUAGGGAGCGCAGAGACAGGUGGUGCAUGGCUGUCGUCAGCUCGUGUCGUGAGAUGUUGGGUUAAGUCCCGCAACGAGCGCAACCCUCGUUUUUAGUUGCCAGCAUUAAGUUGGGCACUCUAGAGAGACUGCCGGUGACAAACCGGAGGAAGGUGGGGAUGACGUCAAGUCAGCAUGCCCCUUACGUCUUGGGCUACACACGUACUACAAUGCUACGGACAGAGGGCAGCGAGCCAGGGAUGGCAAGCGAAUCCAGAAACCGUAGCUCAGUUCAGAUCGAAGGCUGCAACUCGCCUUCGUGAAGGAGGAAUCGCUAGUAAUUGCAGGUCAGCAUACUGCAGUGAAUUCGUUCCCGGGCCUUGUACACACCGCCCGUCACACCAUGGAAGUUGGUCACGCCCGAAGUCAUUACCCCAACCGAAAGGAGGGGGAUGCCUAAGGUAGAACUGGUU
rnacentral:rRNA from 1 species